rnacentral:tmRNA from 1 species
GGGGGUGACCCGGUUUCGACAGGGGAACGGAAAGCGCUGCUGCGUGUCGAGGUGCCGUUGGCCUCGUAAACAAACGGCAAAGCCAUUAACUGGCAACCAGAACUACGCUCUCGCUGCUUAAGUGAGAUGGUGACCGCGAAGCCCGGCCUUUGGCGCCGCGCGAACCACUAAAAAAGAAGGCUAGCCCAGGCGAGGUUCCAUAGCGGACGGCGAAAACAAGUGGAACUACGGCAAAGGGGAGGUGCGCCCACCCGUCGCCCCGAGCCCGACAAUUAAACCGUGGGAUACACACGUAGACGCACGCUGAAAGGACCUUUGGACGGCGGUUCGACUCCGCCCACCUCCACCA